rnacentral:rRNA from 1 species
AGAGUUUGAUCCUGGCUCAGGAUGAACGCUAGCGACAGGCUUAACACAUGCAAGUCGAGGGGCAGCGAGGGCGUAGCAAUACGCCUGUCGGCGACCGGCGCACUGGUGAGUAACACGUAUGCGACCUGCCCCCUACAGGGGUAUAACCCGUAGAAAUGCGGACUAAUCCCCCAUAGUCCUGGGUGCUGCAUGGCAUUCAGGGGAAAGGCCAGCCGGUAGGGGAUGGGCAUGCGGCGCAUUAGCUAGUUGGCGGGGCAACGGCCCACCAAGGCGACGAUGCGUAGGGGUUCUGAGAGGAAGGUCCCCCACACUGGUACUGAGACACGGACCAGACUCCUACGGGAGGCAGCAGUGAGGAAUAUUGGUCAAUGGGCGCAGGCCUGAACCAGCCAAGUCGCGUGAGGGAAGACGGUCCUACGGAUUGUAAACCUCUUUUGUCGGGGAGUAACGUGCGGGACGCGUCCCGUAUUGAGAGUACCCGAAGAAAAAGCAUCGGCUAACUCCGUGCCAGCAGCCGCGGUAAUACGGAGGAUGCGAGCGUUAUCCGGAUUUAUUGGGUUUAAAGGGUGCGCAGGCGGCGCGCCAAGUCAGCGGUCAAAGUUCCGGGCUCAACCCGGUGUCGCCGUUGAAACUGGCGUGCUCGAGUGCGUGCGAGGAAGGCGGAAUGCGUUGUGUAGCGGUGAAAUGCAUAGAUAUGACGCAGAACUCCGAUUGCGAAGGCAGCUUUCCAGCGCGCUACUGACGCUGAGGCACGAAAGCGUGGGGAUCGAACAGGAUUAGAUACCCUGGUAGUCCACGCAGUAAACGAUGACUACUAGCUUUCCGGGGCGACUGUGUCCUGGGAGGCACAGCGAAAGCGUUAAGUAGUCCACCUGGGGAGUACGCCGGCAACGGUGAAACUCAAAGGAAUUGACGGGGGCCC